UACGUAGGGUGCAAGCGUUGUCCGGAAUUAUUGGGCGUAAAGGGCGCGUAGGCGGUCGUGACAAGUCACUUGUGAAAUCUCCGGGCUUAACUCGGAACGGUCAAGUGAUACUGUCGGACUAGAGUACAGAAGGGGCAACUGGAAUUCUCGGUGUAGCGGUGAAAUGCGUAGAUAUCGAGAGGAACACCGGUGGGCAAGGCGCUCUGCUAGGCCGCAACUGACACUGAGGGACGAAAGCUAGGGGAGCGAAUGGG
rnacentral:rRNA from 1 species